rnacentral:tRNA from 1 species
GCCCAGAUGGCGAAAUUGGCAGACGCGCUAGACUCAAAAUCUUGUUCCGAAAGGAGUGUCGGUUCGACCCCGACUCUGGGCACCA